rnacentral:rRNA from 1 species
AUUGAACGCUGGCGGAAUGCUUUACACAUGCAAGUCGAGCGGCAGCGCGGGGGCAACCCUGGCGGCGAGCGGCGAACGGGUGAGUAACAUAUCGGAACGUACCCAGUCGUGGGGGAUAACUAUCCGAAAGGAUAGCUAAUACCGCAUACGUCCUGAGGGAGAAAGCGGGGGAUCGCAAGACCUCGCGCGAUUGGAGCGGCCGAUAUCGGAUUAGCUAGUUGGUGGGGUAAAGGCUCACCAAGGCGACGAUCCGUAGCGGGUCUGAGAGGACGACCCGCCACACUGGAACUGAGACACGGUCCAGACUCCUACGGGAGGCAGCAGUGGGGAAUUUUGGACAAUGGGGGCAACCCUGAUCCAGCCAUUCCGCGUGAGUGAAGAAGGCCUUCGGGUUGUAAAGCUCUUUCAGCAGGAACGAAACGGUGGUCCCUAAUACGGACUACUAAUGACGGUACCUGAAGAAGAAGCACCGGCUAACUACGUGCCAGCAGCCGCGGUA